GACAGAGGGGGCAAGCGUUGCUCGGAAUUACUGGGCGUAAAGGGCGCGUAGGCGGGAUGGCAAGUCGGUCGUGAAAUCCCUCGGCUCAACCGAGGAACGUCGAUCGAUACUGCUGUUCUUGAGGAUUGCAGAGGAGACUGGAAUUCCCGGUGUAGCGGUGAAAUGUGUAGAGAUCGGGAAGAACACCGGUGGCGAAGGCGGGUCUCUGGGCAAUUCCUGACGCUGAGGCGCGAAAGCGUUGGGAGCAAACGGG
rnacentral:rRNA from 1 species